CCUACGGGAGGCAGCAGUGGGGAAUAUUGGACAAUGGGGGCAACCCUGAUCCAGCCAUGCCGCGUGUGUGAAGAAGGCCCUCGGGUUGUAAAGCACUUUCAGUGAGGAAGAACGCCUGGUGGUUAAUACCCAUCAGGAAAGACAUCACUCACAGAAGAAGCACCGGCUAACUCCGUGCCAGCAGCCGCGGUAAUACGGAGGGUGCGAGCGUUAAUCGGAAUUACUGGGCGUAAAGCGCGCGUAGGUGGCUUGAUAAGCCGGUUGUGAAAGCCCCGGGCUCAACCUGGGAACGGCAUCCGGAACUGUCAAGCUAGAGUGCAGGAGAGGAAGGGAGAAUUCCCGGUGGAGCGGUGAAAUGCGUAGAGAUCGGGAGGAAUACCAGUGGCGAAGGCGGCCUUCUGGACUGACACUGACACUGAGGUGCGAAAGCGUGGGUAGCAAACAGGAUUAGAUACCCGGGUAGUC
rnacentral:rRNA from 1 species